CUCUCUCUCUUCUCUCUCUCCCUCUCCCUCUCUCUCUCUUUUAAAAAAUCAGCCAUUUGGGGUUUUAAGCCAUAAACGAUUUUUCUUGUUGCAGGGGAUUGCAGUGGCAAAGCUAGGCUAGGUCUUGGAGGCUGGUGUAAGGCGAUGCGGGUGAAGGCAGGAGGCUGAUGGAAAGACUGGGGGGAAGAAAAGCCGAAAUGGAUUCACGGUGCCUUGGAUGAAGGACGAGAGGGGAACUGCAAGCUCCUUCAACUGGUUCUGUCCGGUGAGAAGUGAUCAAGCUUGGGCUGACAAGAGGCUCAGGGAGCCCUCACGUUCUUUCGCUUUUUUACCUGCCAAUCAAACUGCUACAAGACAACACCCUGAUCUGGCAUGGACAUCGCGGGUCCAAGCCUGUAGCCCCAAAUCGGAUAAUCUCUGCAGCUGAUAACAAGCAAAAGAGAAGCCAGGCAACAGCCAUAUUAAAGAAGAAAACAAUCAACUCUGAGAUCCAACUUAGAAAUAAUGUUUCAUUCAAGAUAAGGCUCGUGAUUUAGGAGAUUGUGACCUGGCUUGCAUCAUUCUAAGACUUCUAUCAUCUGUUUUCAAAACCCAAGGAGGACCUCAUUUUCUGUGUGAUAGUUCCUCAUGCUUUGCCAGCCACUGUGUCUUUAAGGAAGCUUGCCAAGAGUUCCUGGCUGGGAAGGACAGUUCGAGUUCAUCAUAGACAAUGAGCUGGCACCACAUUUUAAGUGACUCACCAACCUGGUUGCCCACUUCAAAAUGUCAAGAACCACACUAUCUAAUUGAAAGAACUGUGUUUUAGCAAAGUGUAAUUGGAUCACCUGGCAAGAUCAUCUCAAACUGUGUCUCUGACCUUGCCUUUCAGUGGCUGUUUUGAGCACAAGAGGAGAAAGGAAAUGAUUCCUGAAUUAUAUC
rnacentral:sRNA from 1 species